GGUAAUCUACUUGCACUUUGACGUGCUUUCGAACUGCUAGGUUGGCAGGAGCAGGGACCGAGCAACGGGAGCUCACCCCGUCGCGGGGAUUCGAACCGCCAACCUUCUGAUCGGCAAGUCCUAGGCUCUGUGAUUUAACCCACAGCGCCACCCGCGUCCCUUGGCUCAAGACAUAUACCUCACAAAAUGUUUGAAAAACAGAAUAUUGGGAUGCCUUCAAACUUGCACAUUUAUUAGGGCAUAAGCUUUUAUGGACCAAAGUUCAUUUCAUCAGUUAUAUGCCUCUCACUUGAGGAUUACUCUGCACCCAUCUAAGAAUCAAUCGCAUAUUUGGUGCCUUAAAAGAAGCAGCUGAGAACUAUAAAAAGUUUGCAACAAAAGUCUUGAACUCUUUGGAGGAGUGACUCCAUGUGUCAAAAAUGAGGCUGCUUCCUGCAGAUCUUUUGUCUGUCUGUUCCUAAACUACCAUUUUUAGUUCAUGGAUCUGUUUGAGAACUUUCGAGUCCUCAGUUGUAGUUCACGGGCAUACUGAGUUCUGAGUGAUAGGCUUGGGAAAGAUAAAAAAAACAAUCCUUUAUGUGCUCAUCCCUUCCUUUUCUUGAAGUUAAACCAAUCAAAGUCCACAGGUUUUCUCACUUAUUUCUUGGGCUGAAAAGAAUUCUCAGGAAAUUGCAAUCCUAUGUGGAUGGAGCAACAAACUGCUCCCAAUCAUUUUAUUUAUAUAAAUAAUUAUAUGCCAUGUUUUGGCUCCAUGUUACCUAAACAUAUACAAAUAAAUAAAACUAAUUUAAAUGUGAACAA